UACGUAGGAAGCAAGCGUUAUCCGGAUUUACUGGGCGUAAAGUGGACGUAGGCGGUCUUUCAAGUCGGAUGUGAAAUCUCCUGGCUUAACUGGGAGGGGUCAUCCGAUACUGUUGGACUAGAGGACAUCAGGGGAAGGUGGAAUUCCCGGUGUAGUGGUGAAAUGCGUAGAUAUCGGGAGGAACACCAGUGGCGAAGGCGGCCUUCCAGGAUGUUUCUGACGCUGAGGUCCGAAAGUGUGGGGAGCGAACAGG
rnacentral:rRNA from 1 species